UACAGAGACUGCAAGCGUUAUUCGGAUUCACUGGGCGUAAAGGGUGCGCAGGCGGCCAAGUGUGUGAGGCGUGAAAGCCCGGGGCUUAACCCCGGAGUAGUCACCUCAAACUAAUUUGGUCGUAGAGCAUUGGUAGAGGGUAGGCAGAAUUCACGGUGUAGCAGUGAAAUAGCGUAGAUAUCGUGAGGAAUACCAGAGGCGAAGGCGGCUACCUGGACAAUUGCUGACGCUCAGGCACGAAAGCGUGGGGAGC
rnacentral:rRNA from 1 species